rnacentral:rRNA from 1 species
UACGUAGGCAGCAAGCGUUGUUCGGAGUUACUGGGCGUAAAGAGUGCGUAGGUGGUGCCCUAAGUCUGUUGUGAAAUCUCCCGGCUUAACUGGGAGGGUGCGGUGGAAACUGGGGUGCUUGAGUGUGGGAGAGGUAAGCGGAAUUCCUGGUGUAGCGGUGAAAUGCGUAGAUAUCAGGAGGAACACCGGUGGCGAAGGCGCACAUCUGGCCCGAUACUGACGCUGAGGCGCGAAAGCUAGGGGAGCAAACGGG